AGAGCCAAACACACCCCUAUGUUAAACUCCAUUUAGGAUAUCUAAACCCAACUCCAAACUUGAUGGUAGGUGUAACCAAACACCCCAUUUCAACACAAAAAAAAUUAGAAGUGCAGAUUUUUUUUCUUCAUUCUUCAUUCUCUAACUUCUCUCUACUUUCUCUCUCAUUUUCCUUUACUUUCUUGGAGGCCAAACACCACACCUUUGCUCCACCCUUACACCACCACCUUAACCCACCAUCUCCACCACCUCCGGCCACCUUAUCUCAUCGGAAAAAGGGUCCGGUCGGCCACUCCUUAAAUCCAUCCGAAAAUAACACAUUAGAAGCACCAACUCUAGAUUUUUCUUAAUCUUUUGAAGAAUCAAAGCAUGGGAUUUAUUUUCUUGAUGGAUUAGAGGCUUGUAAUUGGAUUGGAGGAAGGCAUCUCUACACCUCUUGGAAAUUAAUUUGUAGAGUUUCAAAUCUACACUUUUGUUAUUUUUGGAGAUUCAUAGACUUUUGUGUGGCUCGCCUCAACUUGGA